AGAUCGGGAAUAUUCAAGGCCCUUGAAAAAUAUGCACAUGCUUUUAUAAGGUAUAUAAAUAACGUCUCCGGGUAGGCAAGAUUGUUGUUGUUUUUAAUAAAAAAGAGGGUUGGACGGGGACGGAAAGGGUGGAAAGGCAUUGCUUUCCACUUUGAGUUUCUGGAGAAGGAACGGAACAGAGCGACUGAGUGAAGAAUUCCUGAGAGGAGAAAAGGGAAAAUCCAACCCUCCACAUUGUGGCUCACCUUGUGCCAACCUCAACUAAGCCGCAAUCAUGAUGUCAGCUUUGCCUUUCUGCUAAAGGAAAGUUCUCAGCCUACCUCUUCUUGGAUAUACUUGAACUCCUCCAGCAUCACAUUAAAGAGAAAUUUGGAAAUGUUCCCAAAGUCAUAUAUGUGUCACAUACCUUAAAGCAAAAGAACAAGAAAAAACACCAACCCUAGAGGGAUGGAGGAUGGCCUGCCGUGAGAUGCCCUCUUGCAAACCUUCCAUUUUGUCAUCCCUCCCGCUCCACAGCGAUUAAGUCAGCCUCGCAUUCCAAAGACAUGAGUCCAAACCAUAUUCCUUUUAAAUCUCAACAAAGCGGAGGUCUGAUAUCUUCAUUGUGUGCGCCUGCUUGCCUGCCUGCGAGUGCCUGGACUUCUGAACUUUCACCUCCGAGCCAGCUGUAGUAUUACGCACUUGCCUGCCUUUUCUCUUCAAGUGGGUCAAGUAGAGGUGGAAUGGAAAACCUCUGAAAGCAACAGCAAAGGAAGUUGAAAAGAUACUCUCGUGUUCAAUUCAUGCCGCUGCUCCUGAGUUAUAUCCGUUAGACCUCCCUGCUUGGGAUGCAGUCCUUCACCAAUUCCAUUCUAGAAGGAAGCAACGAGGAACAUUGAGCCAUUUUAGUCUCAUUGAAAGUCUUUGUAGCUUGGGACCGAUUUGGCACAAAACGUCUUCAUGGUAUUCUUUUGCCACAGAGGUUACAAUGUUCAGUUUUAUGAUAACACACGUACUUCAUGGACAUUAUAUGCAAGCAUUCUCCUGAGCUGGAAUGAAUCAAUGGUCCAUUGCACAACAUAGAGCAUCCACUGCACAACUGGACACAUUGUGCAUCAGGACUACAGCCAAAGUGACCCAUUAUCAUGUUGCAAAGUUUGUAAACCAAAUGGUAUUAUUUCUUGAUGCAUUUCCAUUACUUUCUAUUACCAAGUCAUUGUACUCCUUGAUGCAUUUCCAUUACUUUCUAUUACCAGGUCAUUGCACUCCUUGAUGUAUUUCCAUUCCUUUCUAUUACCAACUCGUAGUACUCCUUGAUGCAUUACCAUUACUUUCGUAGUACACCUUGACACAUUUCCAUUCCUUUCUAUUACCAACUCGUAGUACUUCUUGAUGCAUUUCCAUUAAUUUCUAUUACCAACUUGUAGUACUCCUUGAUGCAUUUCCAUUCCUUUCUAUUACCAGCUCGUAGUACUCCUUGAUGCAUUUCCAUUCCUUUCUAUUACCAACUUGUAGUACUCCUUGAUGCAUUUCCAUUCCUUUCUAUUACCAGCUCAUAGUACUCCUUGAUGCAUUUCCAUUCCUUUCUAUUACCAACUCGUAGUACUCCUUGAUGCAUUUCCAUUACUU